rnacentral:rRNA from 1 species
AAUAGAUACCCUGGUAGUCCACGCCGUAAACGAUGAGUGCUAAGUGUUGGAGGGUAUCCACCCUUCAGUGCUGCAGCUAACGCAUUAAGCACUCCGCCUGGGGAGUACGGUCGCAAGACUGAAACUCAAAGGAAUUGACGGGGGCCCGCACAAGCGGUGGAGCAUGUGGUUUAAUUCGAAGCAACGCGAAGAACCUUACCAGGUCUUGACAUCCUCUGCCAAUCCUAGAGAUAGGACGUUCCCCUUCGGGGGACAGAGUGACAGGUGGUGCAUGGUUGUCGUCAGCUCGUGUCGUGAGAUGUUGGGUUAAGUCCCGCAACGAGCGCAACCCUUGUCCUUAGUUGCCAGCAUUGGGUUGGGCACUCUAAGGAGACUGCCGGCUAAAAGUCGGAGGAAGGUGGGGAUGACGUCAAAUCAUCAUGCCCCGUUAUGACCUGGGCUACACACGUGCUACAAUGGAUGGUACAAAGGGUUCGCGAAACCGCGAGGUGGAGCCAAUCCCAAAAAGCCAUUCUCAGUUCGGAUUGC